rnacentral:rRNA from 1 species
CUUAGCGUUGCUAAGGCCGAUGGCGACCGGCGCACGGGUGAGUAACACGUAUCCAACCUGCCGUCUACUCUUGGACAGCCUUCUGAAAGGAAGAUUAAUACAAGAUGGCAUCAUGAGUCCGCAUGUUCACAUGAUUAAAGGUAUUCCGGUAGACGAUGGGGAUGCGUUCCAUUAGAUAGUAGGCGGGGUAACGGCCCACCUAGUCUUCGAUGGAUAGGGGUUCUGAGAGGAAGGUCCCCCACAUUGGAACUGAGACACGGUCCAAACUCCUACGGGAGGCAGCAGUGAGGAAUAUUGGUCAAUGGGCGAGAGCCUGAACCAGCCAAGUAGCGUGAAGGAUGACUGCCCUAUGGGUUGGAAACUUCUUUUAUAAAGGAAUAAAGUCGGGUAUGGAUACCCGUUUGCAUGUACUUUAUGAAUGAGGAUCGGCUAACUCCGUGCCAGCAGCCGCGGUAAUACGGAGGAUCCGAGCGUUAUCCGGAUUUAUUGCGUUCAAAGGGAGCGUAGAUGGAUGUCUAAGUCAGUUGUGAAAGUUUGCGGCUCAACCGUACUAUUGCAGUUGAUACUGGAUAUCUUGAGUGCAGUUGAGGCAGGCGGAAUUCGUGGUGUAGCGGUGAAAUGCUUAGAUAUCACGAAGAACUCCGAUUGCGAAGGCAGCCUGCUAAGCUGCAACUGACAUUGAGGCUCGAAAGUGUGGGUAUCAAACAGGAUUAGAUACCCUGGUAGUCCACACGGUAAACGAUGAAUACUCGCUGUUUGCGAUAUACAGCAAGCGGCCAAGCGAAAGCGUUAAGUAUUCCACCUGGGGAGUACGCCGGCAACGGUGAAACUCAAAGGAAUUGACGGGGGCCCGCACAAGCGGAGGAACAUGUGGUUUAAUUCGAUGAUACGCGAGGAACCUUACCCGGGCUUAAAUUGCAGAUGAAUUACGGUGAAAGCCGUAAGCCGCAAGGCAUCUGUGAAGGUGCUGCAUGGUUGUCGUCAGCUCGUGCCGUGAGGUGUCGGCUUAAGUGCCAUAACGAGCGCAACCCUUGUUGUCAGUUACUAACAGGUUCCGCUGAGGACUCUGACAAGACUGCCAUCGUAAGAUGUGAGGAAGGUGGGGAUGACGUCAAAUCAGCACGGCCCUUACGUCCGGGGCUACACACGUGUUACAAUGGGGGGUACAGAGGGCCGCUACCACGCGAGUGGAUGCCAAUCCCCAAAACCUCUCUCAGUUCGGACUGGAGUCUGCAACCCGACUCCACGAAGCUGGAUUCGCUAGUAAUCGCGCAUCAGCCACGGCGCGGUGAAUACGUUCCCGGGCCUUGUACACAC